rnacentral:misc_RNA from 1 species
GAAAUCAUGCAUUACAAAGAUUAGUCAUCAGCUGUAUAAUUUGGGAGGAUAUCAAAAUAUUUACAAAAAGCGAAUUAUUUUAAAUAAUUUGCAACAAUUGUAGUAAUCUUAUCUUAUAGUUAAACCAAAACAAAUAUUAAAAUGAAUCGUCUGUUUGGAAAAGGUAAGCCAAAGGAGCCAGCACCAAAUCUGAACGAUUGUAUUGCCGGGGUUGAUACUCGUGCGAGUAACAUUGAAGAGAAGAUUACAAAGCUGGAUAAUGAAUUGCGUAAAUAUCGUGAACAAAUGUCGAAAAUGCGCGAAGGACCGGCUAAAAACUCCGUAAAACAGCGAGCUAUGCGUGUGCUGAAGCAGAAAAAGGCUUAUGAACAGCAAGUUGAAGCACUUCGUAAUCAGUCAUUCAAUAUGGAACAGGCUAACUAUGCUGCACAAUCGCUAAAAGACACACAAGCUACUGUAGCUGCAAUGAAGGAUGGUGUCAAACAAAUGCAGAAAGAAUUCAAGAAAGUCAAUAUCGAUCAAAUUGAGGAUAUCCAAGACGAUAUGGCCGAUAUGCUGGAGCAAGCAGAUGAAGUACAAGAAGCUUUAGGUCGUACAUAUGGCAUGCCAGAAGUUGACGAUGACGAACUGCAAGCUGAAUUGGAUGCACUAGGCGAUGAAAUAGCACUCGAUGAUGAUACCAGCUACUUGGAUGACAUGGUAAAAGCACCAUCAGCUCCCGAUAAGGAACCGGGUGCCGACAGUAUCGUACCCGGCAGUAAAAGUGGAAUUGAAACUGACGAGUUUGGCUUGCCUAAAGUGCCCACUUCGGUUAAAACGUCUUAAAUACAUUUUCUUCUGUUUGCGUCUCUAGGAAGAUGUCAAAAAAGUAACGGAAAUUAAGAGAAUUUAAAAGCUAAUCAUCAUUAAAUAAGCUUCAAACAUAAAAACCAAGUUGCUAUUCGCUCCGUGUUUAUAUUUCAUUGAGCCCGUCACUUCAAUUGUCUACACAACACCAUUUUAAUUAAAAGCAAUGAUCUCCAGCGUCUUCUGAUGUUUUAUUUAUCAAAUUUUAUAUACUUCUAUUAUUGGUAAUUUUUUAACAAAAUCGUGUAAUUUGAAAUUUUAGUAUCUUGAGUAUAAAUGUAUAUUAACAAGAGAAUAUUUAGCAAUGCUACUUGGCACAGUUGCAUUUAAAAGUAUGGCAAUAUUUAUGUGCAUUAUUUCGUUGACCUAUGUAAUUAAUUGUGAAAUUACAGAGAAACAUACAUUUAAAUAAUUGGGCAUAAUACUUUCACUUACAAUAUACACACAUACACUUAAUUAUUUCAUAAAACUUAAACGAAAAACAAACAAACAGUGCGUUACAGUAAUUCUAUUGCCAUUGGUAUUUUACUUUAAAUGUUUGCGCGCUAAAUGUUUUAAAAAUUGCAAAGGUUUUAUUGUCAAUUGAAACCAAUGAAGUCUUUAGAAUUGAAAAUUUUUAUAAACAUUUUUAAAUUUCGGAAGCAAAAGUUUAAUUAGUACAAAGACAUCGUCAAAAAAGUGUAAAAAGUUGGCUAGAAGCUUUGCAGACUAACGGU